UGACGGAGUUGCAGAGUUUCUCCCUUUGUCAAUAUUCGAAACUAUUGGAAGAUGAGUUCAUAGGACCUCUCUUAGAUUCACCAUUUCAGAAUUUGUCCAAUUUCAAGGUCAAUCUGCCGUUUCUGUUGAUACAGUAAAAGUUAUAGUCUACAGGUUUGUGGAUUCGAUCUCUUGAGAAGUGAGAGACGUUCAUAUGUUUGUGAUGUGAAUGGAUGGAGCUUUGUUAAAAACUCAUACAAGUAAAUUUUGUAAUUAGAUUUUUUUUGCAUUGCGUUUUUUGAUAUCAGCAGCAGGGUUCAAAAUACUUAAAUAGUUAUUCACGUUCUUUCUAUAAAUAUA